GAUGAACGCUGGCGGCGUGCCUAAUACAUGCAAGUCGAGCGAACAGACGCGGAGCUUGCUCCUUUGACGUUAGCGGCGGACGGGUGAGUAACACGUGGAUAAUCUACCUAUAAGUCUGGGAUAACUUCGGGAAACCGGAGCUAAUACCGGAUAAUAUAUUGAACCGCAUGGUUCAAUAGUGAAAGACGGUUUUGCUGUCACUUCUCGAUGGAUCUGCGCCGCUUUAGCUAGUUGGUAAGGUAACGGCCUAUCACGGCAACGAUGCGUAGCCGAACUGACAGGGGGGUCGGCCGCACUGGAACGGAGACGCGGUCCAGACUCCUACGGGAGGCAGCAGUAGGGUAUCGUCCGCAGUGGGCGGAAGCCUGGCGGAGCAGCGCGGCGUGAGUGAUGAAGGUCUUCCGUGCGUAAUGCUCUGUUAUUAGGGAAGAACAGAUGUGUACGGAGCUGUGCACGGCUUGACGGUACCUAGUCAAAAAGCCACGGCUAACUACGUG
rnacentral:rRNA from 1 species